CCCACCUCUCUCUCGCUCUGUUUCUGGCUCAUGUUAGAUCCUGUCUGCUUCAGCAACGUCCGAAACCCCACCUCCUCCUGUCUCUCUCUCCCUCUCUCUCCACCCCGUCUCAGGCGGCGUGGAAUCCUGGCUGUGUUUAAUUGCUGAGUGGCAAGAUCUGAGGGAGAGAUCGGGAGCCGCUGCGUCUGUCAACGCUUUACGAGCCCCAACCCCGGGAGAGACAGACAGGGAAGGUGUAGGAAGGAAGUGUUUGGAGUUUGGUAACGCGUGAGUUGGGGAAUUUUUACGCAGUGGGGAGGUGAAGAAAGAGGUGAAACGCUGAAGUAAGACUUCAGAGUUGGAGGAAAAAAAGAGGGAGGGAAAGAAAAGAGGCCCACCGUUGGAGAAAGGGCAACGAGAGGGAAAAGUGGGAAAACAAGAGUAAGUUCGAAAAAGGAGGAAGGAAGGAAGGGGGAGGUGAGCGAAAAGUUAGAGAGGGAGAGAGAGAGCGACAGUCCAACGCAGUGAACGAGAGCAGACGCAGAUGAGAAAAACAGACGCCGUGGAUGGCCUGGGUGGAGAGAGAACCAGUUGUUUUCUAAGUCGCCUUUCAGACUGGAAUGCACUCGGAGAAUUCGAGAUUCCCGACGCCUUACUGCCAACUUUGCUUGCGACGCACGCUGGGCCCCGCCGACGGACCAUGCCCGCGUAUGGAGUCUGGCGUAGCCCCGUUCCCCAAGGAGCUGGGGACGGAGCGAGCCGAGAGGAUCGGAACGUCUCCGGCACAGCCGGUUUCCUCCGAGGAGAUCCGGCAUCCGUGCCACAGGUGGGACUCGCCGUGCGUUCGGGAGAUCCGACGAGAGUGCGGAUGCAUCCAGCGGUGGUACUAUCCGGAGUUAAUGCAUCCAUUCAACGCCGACCGUGUUUUGAAGGUCAGAGGUCAUCGCUGCUACUCAUCCUAUGUUCAGGAACGGGACAACGUUUGUCAGCCUGAAUAUAACGGACAUUGCGAAAGGAGACGCGUCUCCUUUCGCCAUCACGAGGAACGAUCCGAGCACUGUAACGGGAUGAGCUCUGGACAGCAGGCGGCUUUUUUCCCGACCGAGGUGCCCUCUAGCAAGCUGGGACGCUCCAGGUCACUGCAGGUGAACGGGACGCAGGCGGACGUAAGGACGUCUCGGGGAGACGCGGGUUUGGAGAAACACGGCAAGCGGAGGAACAGCCAGGGAACAGUACGGGAACAGAUCAAACAAGUGGUCACGGAGCUCGAGGAAGUGCUGGGUGGUCUCAAACAGGUCCAGUUGGAGAUGAAAGAGGUCGUCCAACAGAUCGACAUUCUGACGUCCAACAUUGACCUUGGUGAAGACGAACCAAGUUUAUCCAACGGACUCUCCCAAGAUGCCACCAAAAGCAGUCGGACUGGUGUUGUGGCACUGAUCCACAAUUCGAACAGCGAAGAGGACGUUACAACUUCCAAUUCCUCUCUCAUAAACAGCCCCGUCACUGUGGAUUUAGCUCGCAUUAACGGCCCUUCGCCGACGAGAACCCGCACAAGCCCGUCCCCUCCUGAGCAACGAUCCGUUACUGUUGAGGAUAAAGGCAAACGAGUUGUGAAACAGAGCUCAGAGACUCAAAGGACUCCAAGGACGGCCAAUGGAAACUGCUUACCGCAUCGAACGGCAAGAAAAGGGCAACUGGAAAACCACAAACCCCCUGUAGCUCCUGUAGUGUGCACUAACUCAAAUAAAACCCACCGGCCUCCACCUUACCCUCAGAACGGACAGGUGAAGAUGAGGACGCCACCCUAUGCUGGAAAACAUAAGAUGCUCUCCUCCACCGUAGUGUAAGGACACAAAACUCGCUUUCAUCAUCAGCAAAGAGGACAACACACGCAAACACAGCACGCAUACUCACAGAUACAUUGCACACAUGCUUAAUCGAUUACCAAGUAACUCGUCCAAAUGUUUCUCAGGGGACUGAUGCCACACAACCCAGCUGACUCACACCGGAGGACAGAGAAUCCCAGGCCGAGGGGCAGUGACUGUAUUUCCCAUGGAAAACUCCAGAGCAUCUCAAAGCCCUCUUUCUCUCUCACACCCUGCUGAAAAAAAAUAGUUUGGACCAACUUAAAGUCACCAUGAAAUGUCAAUCACAGCUCAGUUUGCUUAUAUAACCUGACGUAUUUCUGAUUGAAAUUCAGAGAGGAAAUUGUGAGUCAUGUCGGAGGGGGCGGGGUCAAAAAGCAAUAGGGAUUUGUGAUGUCAGCUGUAAAGGAAAGUCGUUUCAGAGGCGGAGCAAGUUGCUGAAGGAUUUUGAAAACGAGCAUUUAGAAAAAAAUAGGAAUAAUGUGCAUCAAGGAAUUUUAAACAAAUAGGAAAGUGUAUUAAGAAAGUAAACAAAGUCAGUUGGAGUUCAAGGGAAAACAACAUCCAAAUUUGAGUUUGGUGACCAUGUAAAAGUUGAGCUUUUCUUAGGUAAAUAUAUGCAUUUUAAUGUACCGCCUUUUUUUCUCCAGGAAAUUGGUCCAAAAUAUUGGCUCUAAAGCAACAUUCUAAAAACCACUCAGAACACCACAGCAACCACAUAGCAACAUUCUAAAAAGCCACUCACAAUGUAACACCUUAGCAACCACAAAGCAACAUUCUAAAAAAAAAAAACACUCAGAACACCAUAGCAACAUUCUAAAACGCCACUCACAAUGUAACACCUUAGCAACUGCAUUCCAAAACUCACGUUUUUAAAGUUAAAUUAUUAAAUGUUUUGCCCAGUAAAAUGAUCUCUAGAAUGAAAACAGCCCUAAUCCUAAAUUCUAAACAGCACGUGCCUCUGUAACCAGCAAUAGCAAGUUGCAAAUGACGUCUUUGUGUUUUGUCUGUUUUUAUUUAUUUAUUUCCUUUUCUAAGCAGUUAGUAGGAAGUGACUGGAAUUUAUUCAUUUUUAAAGUGUUUAAAAAUGGCUGUGACAUAAACUAAAGACUGUUGGGUGUUUUAUAAAAGGGAUCUAGUACCUAUUUUAAUAAGAAAUACGUCAAACUAAGCUCAUCAAACCAUUUCAUGGGACUUUAACUGGUUUCGAUAGACGCUGCUGGUGUGUUACAGGCACAAGCGGGUAAAACAGGUUGUUUUUUAAGGUAAACCAGUGUAAUAGGAUUUAAAAAUGUCUUAAAACAUACAUUAUACUUGUUAUUUAGGCUGACUGAACUAGAUUAGCUGGUUAUUUCAGCAGGGUCUCUCUGCACUGUGUAAACCUUUUGGAACAAGCUGUCCUUCUUAACUAACCUGUGACCUGAUAUUUGCGUGUUUCUCCUUUAAAGGAGCACAACCGAGGAAUAAGCUGCUUUAGAUUGGAAAUGUACGACUUUAUAACAGGGCCUUGAGCUCUCAGAUAUAUGCAAACUGUUGCCAGCGCUCGCGUAGAUCUGAAAGGCUGUGACUACCCAGCUAACGAAAAUACACUCUAAGAAUAUAUUUCUUGCUAACCAGUUUUAGGGGAAGUUACUUUGAAAAGUAAUGCAUUACAUUAUUGCCUUACUACAUAAAAAAGUAGGUAAUUGCAUUACUUAGCUACUUUUUAUGGAACGUAGGCUAAUGCAGUGAUACUUUUGUGUUACUUUUUGUCACCUGGGCAGGGCUUAUUUGAUUUUUAAUAACAAAAAAGUAACUUGCUUUACUUAUUUAAAAAAGUAUAUCAAAUAUUUCAUUUUAAAGUAAUGUUUUAAAGUAGUUUUAAAGUUUACUUUAUUAGUUACUUGAAAAAGUAAUCUGAUUAUUUGUAAUGCAUUAUCCCAGAGUACUAUUUCAAUGUAUAAACCAUUUAAUUAUGCGAAUGUUACAUUGAAACAUUCCAUUUUAGAAUUUUGAAUGUUUUCUGAACAUUCCGAGACAAACAGUAACAUUUAAAACACACUACAAGUACAUCCAAAUAAGAUGUUUCAGAAAUAAAUGAGUAAAAACCAUAUAACAUUACUGGACAAACGUUUGUUCGUAACUUUGAAAGAACCUUAUCACAACAUUCCUUGUUAGCUGGGUAGUCAUUUGAAAUGCCUAAAAAGAGGAAGUGUUUUCGUAAUAUUUGUAUUACUGCUAUUAUUAUACAGACCAAAGAUUGAAAUGAUUUUUGUUCAGGGAGGCUGAAGGAUCUAUAAUUAUGUUAAGCUAAGCUAAUGAACAUUAACAUUGCCUCAAAGGCAGCUCGUAAAACCACUUUAGAAAGGUAUACAGCUAAUAUCUGCUAGAAACAGAGUUUAUACUCCUGGAUUAAAGUGGAGGGAUCUUAACACAGUAUUGCAGCUGUGGACUGGAAUUAUUUAAUCAGUAUUUAAAGCCAGUAUAAGCCAUCUUUAUAGACUGUUGCAAUCAUGUAGUGGCAUUUUCACUCUGUGGCCAAUAGAGGGCGCUUCAGACCACAGAACGACAGAAAGGUGACGCCAAUGACACGUGAAUGUCUUAUAAAUGUGUACAGCUCACAUGAAAUAAAACAUUAAGUGUUUAAAUUA